CAACCUGGUUGAUCCUUCUGCAGGGAUAUGCUUGUCUCAAGGACUAGGCCAUGCAAGUGCCAGUAUGAGAUUUAAACAUCGAAACUGCGAAUGGCUCGGUAAAACAGCAAUAAUUUCUUCGGGGAUAUACUAUCGGAUAACCGUAGUAAUUCUAGAGCUAAUACGUGCCACAAACAUGGGGAAGUGGUACUUGUUUAGAUAACAAGCCAAUUUUUUGGUGAUUCAAAACAAUUUUUCUGAUCGUACUUUUGUACGACGCCCCGUUCAAAUUUCUGACCCAUCAACUUUGGAUGGUAAGGUAGUGUCUUACCAUGGUUUUGACGGGUAACGGACCGUGGGUGCGGGACUCCGGAGAGGGAGCCUGAGAAACGGCUACCACAUCCAAGGAAGGCAGCAGGCGCGCAAAUUACCCAAUCCGGACACCGGGAGGUAGUGACAAGAAAUAGCAAUAGAGGGCCCAAUGGGCUUUCUAAUUGGAAUGAGAACAAGGUAAACGGCUUAUCGAGGAGCCAGCAGAGGGCAAGUCUGGUGCCAGCAGCCGCGGUAAUUCCAGCUCUGUAAGCGUAUUUCAAAGUUGUUGCAGUUAAAACGCUCGUAGUCGAAUUUUGGUGGUCCAUUGCCGCGCAUCCGCGAGGAUGAGUGGCUUUGGCCGCCUUUGUGGAUAGGGGCUUUGGGGUGCUUUAUUGCAACCUGGAGUCGCUGCCACCGUUUACUGUGAAAAAAUUAGAGUGUUCAAAGCAAGCGUUUGCCGUGAAUACAUUAGCAUGGAAUAAUAGAAUAGGACCUGAGUCUUAUUUUGUUGGUUUGUUAAGUUCAGGUAAUGAUUAAGAGGGACGGUUGGGGACAUAGGUAUUUCGACGCUAGAGGUGAAAUUCUUAGAUUGUCGGAAGACCAACAGCUGCGAAAGCGUUUGUCAAGGACGUUUUCAUUGAUCAAGAACGAAAGUAAGGGGAUCGAAGACGAUCAGAUACCGUCGUAGUCUUUACUAUAAACGAUGAAAAUUAGGGAUCGGACGUGGCAAAUUUAGUACGUUCGGCACCUUCCGGGAAACCAAAAUGUUUGUUUUCUGGGGGGAGUAUGGUCGCAAGUCUGAAACUUAAAGGAAUUGACGGAAGGGCAUCACCGGGUGUGGAGCCUGCGGCUUAAUUUGACUCAACACGGGAAAACUUACCAGGUCAGGACAUUAGUAGGAUUAACAGAUUGAGAGCUCUUUUUUGAUUUAAUGGUUGGUGGUGCAUGGCCGUUCUUAGUUGGUGGAGUGAUCUGUCUGGUUAAUUCCGUUAACGAGCGAGACCUGCGCGUGCUAACUAGGCGCCACUACCUUCGUGGUAGUGAGGUGGCCUACUUAGACGGACUGAUGGCCGUUUAGCCAUUGGAAGUUGCAGGCAAUAACAGGUCUGAGAUGCCCUUAGAUGUUCUGGGCCGCACGCGUGCUACACUGAGCAGAUCAACGGGUGAGGUAACGCGAAAGCGUGACCCAAUCUCUAAAUCUGCUCGUGAUGGGGAUUGAGGCUUGCAAUUUUCCCUCCUGAACGAGGAAUACCUUGUAAGCACGGGUCAUCAUCCCGUGCUGAAUACGUCCCUGCCCUUUGUACACACCGCCCGUCGCUCCUACCGAUUGAGUGGUUAGGUGAGGCCUUGGGAAGGCCAGUUGCAGGAAUUUUUCCUUCUUCUGGAACAACUUGGUCAAAUCUCAUCACUUAGAGGAAGGAGAAGUCGUACCAAGGACUCCGUAGGUGAACCUGCAGAAGAAUCAAGCU
rnacentral:rRNA from 1 species